rnacentral:rRNA from 1 species
CACGUAGGGCGCAAGCGUUGUCCGGAAUUAUUGGGCGUAAAGAGCUCGUAGGCGGUCUGUUGCGUCCGCUGUGAAAACUCGGGGCUUAACCCCGAGCCUGCAGUGGAUACGGGCAGACUAGAGGUAGGUAGGGGAGAAUGGAAUUCCCGGUGUAGAGGUGAAAUUCGUAGAUAUCGGGAGGAACACCAGUGGCGAAGGCGGCUCUCUGGACAGGAACUGACGCUGAGACGCGAAAGCGUGGGUAGCAAACAGG